rnacentral:tRNA from 1 species
GGGCCUGUGGUGUAAUCUGGAUAGCACUUGGGCCUCCGGAGCCCACGAUCCGGGUUCAAAUCCCGGCAGGCCCG